AGCUUUGCGCAGUGGCAGUAUCGUAGCCAAUGAGGUUUAUCCGAGGCGCGAUUAUUGCUAAUUGAAAACUUUUCCCAAAAUAGCACAAUUUUCAGGAGCCUCCUACAAAAG
rnacentral:snRNA from 1 species